rnacentral:rRNA from 1 species
UACGGAGGGAGCUAGCGUUGUUCGGAAUUACUGGGCGUAAAGCGCACGUAGGCGGCGAUUCAAGUCAGAGGUGAAAGCCCGGGGCUCAACCCCGGAACUGCCUUUGAAACUAGAUUGCUAGAAUCUUGGAGAGGCGAGUGGAAUUCCGAGUGUAGAGGUGAAAUUCGUAGAUAUUCGGAAGAACACCAGUGGCGAAGGCGGCUCUCUGGACAACAACUGACACUGAGGCACGAAAGCGUGGGGAGCAAACAGG